rnacentral:rRNA from 196 species
UUGACCUCGGAUCAGGUAGGGAUACCCGCUGAACUUAAGCAUAUCA